UUACAGACUCUACAAAUAAAUAAUAUAAGUAAUAUAUACUUACCGGUUUAAUAAAAUAAUUACAUUUCAUUUAGGCAAUAAAAAAACUCUGUUCUUCCAUUAUUCUUCCAUUUGAAAAACCUAAAAUUGAAUACUGUGAAAAGAAAAAUAUAUUUGGCUGCCAUAUUUUAAAAAUUUAACUUCCUGUGGCCACCCUUUGUCAUAGUGAUCAUAGUCAAUAGGUUUCUAUUUUUGACAGUAUAGUUUUGUGCAAGUCCAUGUUUUACAAAUGAGUCCAGUCCAUGUUUUACAAAUGAGUCCAGUCCAUGUUUUACAAAUGAGUCCAGUCCAUGUUUUACAAAUGAGUCCAGUCCAUGUUUUACAAAUGAGUCCAGUCCAUGUUUUACAAAUGAGUCCAGUCCAUGUUUUACAAAUGAGUCCAGUCCAUGUUUUACAAAUGAGUCCAGUCCAGGUUUUACAAAUGAGUCCAGUCCAUGUUUUACAAAUGAGUCCAGUCCAGGUUUUACAAAUGAGUCCAGUCCAGGUUUUACAAAUAAGUCCAGUCCAUGUUUUACAAAUUCUAUUGUUCUGAGUCCAGUCCAUGUUUUACAAAUGAGUCCAGUCCAGGUUUUACAAGUCCAGUCCAGUCCAGGUUUUACAACAUGCCGCCG